UACGUAGGGGGCAAGCGUUGUCCGGAAUCAUUGGGCGUAAAGAGCGUGUAGGUGGCUCGGUAAGUCCGCUGUGAAAGUCCAGGGCUCAACCCUGGAAAGCCGGUUGAAACUGUCGAGCUCGAGUCGGGAAGAGGCGAGUGGAAUUCCUGGUGUAGCGGUGAAAUGCGCAGAUAUCAGGAGGAACACCGGUGGCGAAGGCGGGUCUCUGGGCCGUAACUGACGCUGAGGAGCGAAAGCGUGGGGAGCGAACAGG
rnacentral:rRNA from 1 species